GUGUUACUCUCUCUGACCCAUAUUACUUGUCGAAAUAUUACAUGUAUCUAUACACUUUUUAAACAUAGAUACAUUCAUAUUUGGGCAAAUUUGAGACAAGUAAUAUGGGUCGGAGGGAUUAUUAU
rnacentral:pre_miRNA from 1 species